CUUCUACUCACCAGAAUUUAAGGCCGUUAAAUUCAGAAGCAAAAUGUCCAUGAAAAAUAAGAGAAUGAGAUUCAUUAACUUAGGUUGAUUUCCUUAAGAGAUUGUGACCUGGAGAUUUGCUGCAGGGAGUUUAUUGGGAAGAACACUCUGGAGCAACACCAUUAAAGGGACAUUUAAUACAUUGGUUUAUAAGACUCAAUGGGCAGAACGGCUUGCACCACAUCCUGAUCUCUUGCUCUGGCCUCUAUGUAAUCCUGGAAGUAAAUCAAGAAUCGAUUAAAACACCAGGAAUGAACCCUCUCAUCAUGUGUAGACACAGAGAGAUGGAAGUCAUCUGCAAGCAAAGGAAUGAAGACCCUCAAAACCAAACCUACCAACAUCAUGAACUUGGAUAUUUAGCCUUCAGAACUUUGAAAAGAUAGAGUUAUUUAAACAUCUUAGUGAGAAAUAUUUUUAUGGAAGUCUUAGCAAAUUAAUGGAGUCAGUUUUCUCAAGAGGCUUAUGUUUUAGAGAGUUUUAGCUUCAGGGAAAAAUUGAGCAAAAUAUAGAGAAGGAAUAUUUUCCACAGUGCCUCUACACAUGCGUAGCUUCCUACGUUAUUAACAAUCACCAACAGAAUGGUACAUUUGUUAUAAUUGUUGAAGUUUUGUGACACAUAAUUAUUAUCCAAAGUCCAUGUUAUACAGAGGGUUCAUAGUUGGUGUUGAAUAUUUCCUGGAUUAAAAAAAUGUGUAAUGUAUUUAUUUACCUUUAUAGUACUAUACAAAUAGUUUCACUGGUGAAAAGAAAAAUCUUCUAUGCUCUAUUAGUCCUUCUCCAUAACCCCUGAAACCACUGGUCUUUUUAUUAUCUCCACAUAUUUUUAUUUUUCAGAAUUUUUGAGCAGUUGAAGUCAAACUAUCUAAAAGGAUUUGAAUUUGGCUUUUGCCACAUAGUAAUGUAC
rnacentral:lncRNA from 1 species